rnacentral:rRNA from 1 species
UACGGAGGGUGCAAGCAUUAAUCGGAUUUAUUGGGCGUAAAGGGCGCGUAGGCGGGGAUAUAAGUCAGAUGUGAAAUCCCGAGGCUCAACCUCGGAACAGCAUUUGAAACUGUAUUUCUUGAGGGUAGGCGGAGAAAACGGAAUUCCACAAGUAGCGGUGAAAUGCGUAGAUAUGUGGAAGAACACCGGUGGCGAAGGCGGUUUUCUAGCUUACUCCUGACGCUAAAGCGCGAAAGCAAGGGGAUCAAACAGG